AAUAAGUGCAGCCAUGGUUUUCAGCGCUCAACUUUGACAAUUCGUCUUAUUUGAAAUCUUUUUGAAAAAAAUUAAAGACAUAAGUCACGAGUAAAGCACUAUUAAAUAAAACAAACGAUCAAACUUGGACACAGAAACUCAUGGCUGCAUUUAUU
rfam:Oryza nivara chromosome 1, whole genome shotgun sequence.